CAUGGUGGAAGGGGAAGCAAACAUGUCCUUCAUCACAUGGUGGCAGCAAGGAGAAGCGUAGAGCAAAGAGGGGAAAAAGCCCCCCACAGAACCAUCAGAUCUCAUGAGAACUCACUCACUAUCACAAGAACAGCAUGGAGGUAACCGCCCCCGUGCUUUAAUUACCUCCCACCAGGUCCCUCUCAAGACAUGUGGAGAUUAUGGGAACUACAAUUCAAGAUGAGACUUGGUUGGGGACACAGCCAAACUAUAUAAACAUCUAACAGGAAUCCUUGGUUAGAGCUUCUGCAUCUGCUUGCAGAUGGGAGAAGAGAGUGAGAAAGAAAAGUGGCCAAAUUCAAAUACCUGUGGCACGUUCAAGUGGGAAAAUAAAGAAGAAAAAGCCCAUACCACUUCAGUCUUUUUUGAUUAUAUUAAAUAUCCAGAGUUGAUGAGCUGGAGAAUGCGACUGGCAGCACAGGCCUAGGGCACCAGAGGGCAGACUGUACAGAGACCUGUGAGAAUGGUCAGAACUCCAUGGAUCAUGAUGGAAUGAUCAGGGACACUAUAAUAGCGUUCAUUUUAUGUAUUAAGCCAGAUUUGCACAACAAUUCCAUUGUAAUACAAAUGUAAUCUUUAGAAGUAAUUUUAAAGCAGCAAAUGUAGAAAUGCCAACUCUCAAGUAAAAGAAAACAAUUUUCCUAAGCCAAAUGUCUUUUGUAAGAGAUUUCAAUGGUCAUUUGAUUUUAGUUUAAAGAUCAUCUGACCUUAUGAUUCACCCGAUUCUUAAAUGCACAUCUCAAAUAUAAUUGUCUUCAUUUGGAGUUAAUGUAUAAAAAAUAAAAACAGUGAAAUAACCCUUUGUGCUUUGUUCUACUGCUGUGCAGUGCUUUUGUCUAACUACAAGAAACUCUAAGUAUACAAUUAUUAGUAUUAAAACUGAUGUCUCCAAGAGUUCAAUGUUAAUUUUACUUAAAAAAUUUAUACUGAAAAAAUGGUUUCUCCAUAUUCCUUGUAAUAUGGCUAUUUAAUCUAAGUUCACUCAGCUCAGUCAUAUAGUCUUUUGAAAACAGAGAUGAUAUGAUAUUUA
rnacentral:lncRNA from 10 species